AUUGAACGCUGGCGGAAUGCUUUACACAUGCAAGUCGAACGGCAGCACGGGAGCUUGCUCCUGGUGGCGAGUGGCGAACGGGUGAGUAACAUAUCGGAACGUACCCAGUCGUGGGGGAUAACUCUCCGAAAGGAGAGCUAAUACCGCAUACGUCCUGAGGGAGAAAGCGGGGGACCUGCAAGGGCCUCGCGCGAUUGGAGCGGCCGAUAUCGGAUUAGCUAGUUGGUGGGGUAAAGGCUCACCAAGGCGACGAUCCGUAGCGGGUCUGAGAGGACGACCCGCCACACUGGAACUGAGACACGGUCCAGACUCCUACGGGAGGCAGCAGUGGGGAAUUUUGGACAAUGGGCGCAAGCCUGAUCCAGCCAUUCCGCGUGAGUGAAGAAGGCCUUCGGGUUGUAAAGCUCUUUCAGCAGGAACGAAACGGUCGGCUUUAAUAAAGUCGGCUAAUGACGGUACCUGCAGAAGAAGCACCGGCUAACUACGUGCCAGCAGCCGCGGUAAUACGUAGGGUGCGAGCGUUAAUCGGAAUUACUGGGCGUAAAGCGUGCGCAGGCGGUUUUAUAAGCCAGAUGUGAAAGCCCCGGGCUCAACCUGGGAAUGGCAUUUGGGACUGU
rnacentral:rRNA from 1 species